GUGAACUAUGCCUGUGUAGGGUGAAGCCAGAGGAAACCCUGCUGGAGAACCGCUGUGGCUCUGACGUGCAAAUCGAUGGUCAAAUAUGGGAUGAAAGAGGAGAAAAAGUGUUCAAAC
rnacentral:ncRNA from 1 species